AAUAUUUGACAAUGGGCGCAAGCCUGAUCCAGCCAUGCCGCGUGAGUGAUGAAGGCCCUAGGGUUGUAAAGCCCUUUCAACGGUGAAGAUAAUGACGGUAACCGUAUAAGAAGCCCCGGCUAACUUCGUGCCAGCAGCCGCGGUAAUACGAAGGGGGCUAGCGUUGUUCGGAAUUACUGGGCGUAAAGUGCACGUAGGCGGUUCGAUCAGUUAGAGGUGAAAUCCCAGGGCUCAACCCUGGAACUGCCUCUAAUACUGUCGAUCUCGAGUUCGAGAGAGGUGAGUGGAAUUCCGAGUGUAGAGGUGAGAUUCGUAGAUAUUCGGAGGAACACCAGUGGCGAAGGCGGCUCACUGGCUCGAUACUGACGCUGAGGUGCGAAAGCGUGGGGAGCAAACAG
rnacentral:rRNA from 1 species